rnacentral:rRNA from 1 species
UACGGAGGGGACUAGCGUUGUUCGGAAUUACUGGGCGUAAAGCGCACGUAGGCGGAUUUGUAAGUCAGGGGUGAAAUCCCGAGGCUCAACCUCGGAACUGCCUUUGAUACUGCACAUCUCGAGUCCGGAAGAGGUGAGUGGAAUUCCUAGUGUAGAGGUGAAAUUCGUAGAUAUUAGGAAGAACACCAGUGGCGAAGGCGGCUCACUGGUCCGGUACUGACGCUGAGGUGCGAAAGCGUGGGGAGCAAACAGG